AUGAAUUGGAUACUUCAAGAGAAGAGAAGAGAAUUGUCAGAUAAGGAGAGACAUGGUGUUUACUUUGCAUUGCUGGUAAUCCAGCUCAGAGAUGGGUCUGUUCAACCAGACGACAAGCUACUAGUCUCAAACCUGUUGGACAUAAGUGUACGAUCUGUUGACAGAAUCUGGGAACAGACUAAAAAGAAAAUUGCCGAUGGCAAAGAAGUAGAUGUCUCAAGCAAGAAGCCAGGAAGAUCCGGCCGAAAGAGAAAGGAGUUAGAUCUAGAGAGGACCUCAACAAUCCCACUGAAUAAAAGAAGAACAAUUCGAUCUCUGGCAUGG
rnacentral:rRNA from 1 species